GCUGUCAUUCUUAAUAGGCCAGUCGUCAUAAUAGAAGGCUCAGUGACGCCACAAGUCGAUUUAGAGUGAAUAAACAGAGCGGGAGAGUAGUCUAGCAGAGACUAGAGGUGAAUUCAAGGCAAUAACACAAAACAUCACCAGUGGCACAUCACCAGCUAAAUAGAAGCAUGUUCUUUGUGGUGAAAGAAGGUUCUUCAGAUUAUAUAAAGAACCGCAUUGAGUGGAUGGGACACGCAUGUUGGAGAGUGACAUCAGACGCUCUAUUUGUGUGGCCGUUGUGACACAAUCAUCAAAGCUGUCCUCGUGCGCCCUCGUCUGUUGGAAAAAAUAAGAGCUCUCUCUCUCUCUCUCUCUCUCUCUCUCUCUCUCUCUCNCCCCCGCUUUCUCUCAGUGGUCAAUUUUGGUGUUCCUUAUUGACAAGGAAAAACUUUGUCUUCCAAAAACAUUUGAGGCAUAGCUACCUAUAACGAGAACCUGUGAGAUAUCAUAAAAGAAUACAUUUAAAGUAAAAUGAUGGUGAAAAUAAAAUGAGUAGUGCACAAAAUGUAAAAUAAAAU
ensembl:lncRNA